CAGAGAGGGGAAAUGGAGUGUUGAAGAUAUUAGACACUGUACAUGCAUAAGAGAAAAUGAGGUCAAGGGUAUUGCCAGCUACAUGGGUGGGAGAAUUAGCCCACUGUGAUAUCCCAAAGGAGGAAGUAAUUGAAAGUAGUUUAGAGGGUGAGGUCAGGGGUGGUUUAACUGGAAUAUUGAAGUCCCUGAGAAUUAGGGAUGGUAUGUUAGAGGAGAGGAAGUAGGGUAGCCAGGCAGCAAAGUGCUCAAGGAAGAGGAGAGGGGAACCAG